CGUGUAGGCGGUUUUGCAAGUCAGAUGUGAAAUUUCCGGGCUUAACCCGGACGCUGCAUCUGAAACUGCAGAACUUGAGUAUUGGAGAGGAUAGCGGAAUUCCUAGUGUAGCGGUAAAAUGCGUAGAUAUUAGGAGGAACACCGGUGGCGAAGGCGGCUAUCUGGACAGUAACUGACGCUGAGGCGCGAAAGCGUGGGGAGCAAACA
rnacentral:rRNA from 1 species